rnacentral:rRNA from 1 species
AUGGAUUUCAGAUUGGCUCCGGCGCCCCGCACGCCCUCAUCAUGCCGACGGAUGGUGGUAUAUACAGCGCGAGUUGACGAGGAUUUGACACAGACCCCCGACCCCGACGCCUCCAGCUCCCAAAAUCUAGCUGCUACACCUGUCCAGCUCAGACUUCAGAGCAGCAGCUCUCGUCGUCCGGUCGCCGACGGCGACGACGACAUGGGCAACGGAUCAGUUGGGUUCGCCUGGCUUCUCGUCGCCGCGCUGCUCCUGGGCUCUUGCACGACGCCGGCAUGCUCCUCGCGUCUCCUUCCAGAUGGUGGUGCGGAGGUAUGGGUCGCCGGCGGGCCAGGCUACGGCAGCAGCGGCAAGGCAGCUCUGGUGGUCCGGCGGUCAUUGGGGCUGAGGCUGACGGCCCCGCCGUCGCCGACGUCGAACACGCCUAGGGCCAGUGCGGCGCCGGCGCCCCCGGGAGGGCAAGUGUAA